rnacentral:tRNA from 1 species
CACUUUGUAGCUCAUCGGUAGAGCAUCAGGAUCAUCCCCUGAAGGUAGCGGGUUCGAUUCUCGCCUUUGUUU